GAUGAACGCUGGCGGCGUGCUUAACACAUGCAAGUCGAACGGAAAGGCUCCUGCUUGCAGGGGUACUCGAGUGGCGAACGGGUGAGUAACACGUGGGUGAUCUGCCCUGCACUUCGGGAUAAGCCUGGGAAACUGGGUCUAAUACCGGAUAGGACGAUGGUUUGGAUGCCAUUGUGGAAAGUUUUUUCGGUGUGGGAUGAGCUCGCGGCCUAUCAGCUUGUUGGUGGGGUAAUGGCCUACCAAGGCGUCGACGGGUAGCCGGCCUGAGAGGGUGUACGGCGACAUUGGGACUGAGAUACGGCCCAGACGCCUACGGGAGGCAGCAGUGGGGAAUAUUGCACAAUGGGCGCAAGCCUGAUGCAGCGACGCCGCGUGGGGGAUGACGGGCUUCGGGUUGUAAACUCCUUUCGCUAGGGACGAAGCGCAAGUGACGGUACCUGGAGAAGAAGCACCGGCUAACUACGUG
rnacentral:rRNA from 1 species